GACGAACGCUGGCGGCGUGCUUAACACAUGCAAGUCGAGCGGUAAGGCCCUUUCGGGGGUACACGAGCGGCGAACGGGUGAGUAACACGUGGGUGACCUGCCCUCAGCUCUGGGAUAAGCCUGGGAAACCGGGUCUAAUACUGGAUAUGACUCCAUGACGCAUGUUGUGGGGUGGAAAGCCUUGUGCGGCUGAGGAUGGGGCCCGCGGCCUAUCAGCUUGUUGGUGGGGUGAGGCCUACCAAGGCGACGACGGGUAGCCGGCCUGAGAGGGCGACCGGCCACACUGGGACUGAGACACGGCCCAGACUCCUACGGGAGGCAGCAGUGGGGAAUCUUGCGCAAUGGGCGAAAGCCUGACGCAGCG
rnacentral:rRNA from 1 species